rnacentral:rRNA from 1 species
ACCCAGACUCCUACGGGAGGCAGCAGUGGGGAAUAUUGCACAAUGGGGGAAACCCUGAUGCAGCAACGCCGCGUGAGUGAAGAAGUAUUUCGGUAUGUAAAGCUCUAUCAGCAGGGAAGAAAAUGACAGUACCUGAGUAAGAAGCCCCGGCUAACUACGUGCCAGCAGCCGCGGUAAUACGUAGGGGGCAAGCGUUAUCCGGAUUUACUGGGUGUAAAGGGAGCGUAGACGGCGAUACAAGUCUGAAGUGAAAGCCCGGGGCUCAACCCCGGGACUGCUUUGGAAACUGUGUUGCUGGAGUGCUGGAGAGGCAAGCGGAAUUCCUAGUGUAGCGGUGAAAUGCGUAGAUAUUAGGAGGAACACCAGUGGCGAAGGCGGCUUACUGGACUGUAACUGACGUUGAGGCUCGAAAGCGUGGGGAGCAAACAGGAUUAGAUACCCGAGUAGAA